rnacentral:rRNA from 1 species
GAGUUUGAUCAUGGUUCAGGACGAACGCUGGCGGCGUGCCUAAUACAUGCAAGUCGAGCGAGCGGAACCAACAGAUUUACUUCGGUAAUGACGUUGGGAAAGUGAGCGGCGGAUGGGUGAGUAACACGUGGGGAACCUGCCCCUAAGUCUGGGAUACCAUUUGGAAACAGGUGCUAAUACCGGAUAAUAAAGCAGAUCGCAUGAUCAGCUUUUGAAAGGCGGCGUAAGCUGUCGCUAAGGGAUGGCCCCGCGGUGCAUUAGCUAGUUGGUAAGGUAACGGCUUACCAAGGCGACGAUGCAUAGCCGAGUUGAGAGACUGAUCGGCCACAUUGGGACUGAGACACGGCCCAAACUCCUACGGGAGGCAGCAGUAGGGAAUCUUCCACAAUGGACGCAAGUCUGAUGGAGCAACGCCGCGUGAGUGAAGAAGGUUUUCGGAUCGUAAAGCUCUGUUGUUGGUGAAGAAGGAUAGAGGUAGUAACUGGCCUUUAUUUGACGGUAAUCAACCAGAAAGUCACGGCUAACUACGUGCCAGCAGCCGCGGUAAUACGUAGGUGGCAAGCGUUGUCCGGAUUUAUUGGGCGUAAAGCGAGCGCAGGCGGAAAAAUAAGUCUAAUGUGAAAGCCCUCGGCUUAACCGAGGAACUGC